rnacentral:rRNA from 1 species
GAUGAACGCUGGCGGCGUGCCUAAUACAUGCAAGCCGAGCGAACAGACGAGGAGCUUGCUCCUUUGACGUUAGCGGCGGACGGGUGAGUAACACGUGGGUAACCUACCUAUAAGACUGGGAUAACUUCGGGAAACCGGAGCUAAUACCGGAUAAUAUUUCGAACCGCAUGGUUCGAUAGUGAAAGAUGGCUCUGCUAUCACUUAUAGAUGGACCUGCGCCGUAUUAGCUAGUUGGUAAGGUAACGGCUUACCAAGGCAACGAUACGUAGCCGACCUGAGAGGGUGAUCGGCCACACUGGAACUGAGACACGGUCCAGACUCCUACGGGAGGCAGCAGUAGGGAAUCUUCCGCAAUGGGCGAAAGCCUGACGGAGCAACGCCGCGUGAGUGAUGAAGGUCUUCGGAUCGUAAAACUCUGUUAUUAGGGAGGAACAAACGUGUAAGUAACUGUGCACGUCUUGACGGUACCUAAUCAGAAAGCCACGGCUAACUACGUG